rnacentral:lncRNA from 1 species
AUCUAUAAACUUCAGCAUAAAAGAGCUGAAUAACAACACCAGUGUCCAUCAUCGUACCUCCCUGAAGGAAU